GGGAAACCAAGAAAAGAAUGGCAAUGGAGACUUUGGGAUUGGUCAAUCUCAUAUCUACUACCAAGAAGCAAUGUUUAGGAAGAAAUCCUUGUUUGACUUAUGGAUUAAAAAUGGCUUUGAGGAAGGGAUAUGUUUGAAGUUUGAUUUGGAUGAGCAUAGUUUCUUAAACUUUGAAGUGGUGAAGAUGAGCUUAAGAGAAUUUAUUGAUGGCUACCACUUGAAGUGCUUUUUGGAAGAAAAGGUCGAUGGA